rnacentral:rRNA from 1 species
CAGUAGCCGCGGUAAAACGAAGGGUGCAAGCGUUAAUCGGAAUUACUGGGCGUAAAGCGUGCGUAGGCGGUGAGUUAAGUCUGCUGUGAAAUCCCCGGGCUCAACCUGGGAAUGGCAAUGGAUACUGGCAAGCUAGAGUGUGUCAGAGGAUGGUGGAAUUCCCGGUGUAGCGGUGAAAUGCGUAGAGAUCGGGAGGAACAUCAGUGGCGAAGGCGGCCAUCUGGGACAACACUGACGCUGAGGCACGAGAGCGUGGGGAGCAAACAGGAUUAGAUACCCGAGUAGUCCCUGUCUCUUAUAC